UACAGAGGGUGCAAGCGUUAAUCGGAAUUACUGGGCGUAAAGCGUGCGUAGACGGUUAUGUAAGUCAGGUGUGAAAGCCCCGGGCUCAACCUGGGAAUGCCAUUUGAGACUGCAUAGCUAGGGUACGGAAGAGGGAAGCGGAAUUUCAGGUGUAGCGGUGAAAUGCGUAGAGUAUCUGAAGGAACACCAGUGGCGAAAAGCGGACUU
rnacentral:rRNA from 1 species